rnacentral:tRNA from 1 species
CAGGGAAUAGUUUAAGAAGAAUUUCAGUUUUGGGUAUUGAUAG